ACUCCUACGGGAGGCAGCAGUGAGGAAUAUUGGACAAUGGGCGAGGGCCUGAUCCAGCCAUGCCGCGUGCAGGAAGAAUGCCCUAUGGGUAGUAAACUGCUUUUAUACGGGAAGAAAAAGGGGCACGUGUGCCCUGUUGACGGUACCGUAAGAAUAAGGACCGGCUAACUCCGUGCCAGCAGCCGCGGUAAUACGGAGGGUCCGAGCGUUAUCCGGAAUUAUUGGGUUUAAAGGGUCCGUAGGCGGGCCGGUAAGUCAGGGGUGAAAGUCUGUAGCUCAACUAUAGAACUGCCUUUGAUACUGCCGGUCUUGAGUCACGGUGAAGUUGCCGGAAUAUGUGGUGUAGCGGUGAAAUGCAUAGAUAUCACAUAGAACACCGAUUGCGAAGGCAGGUGACUAACCGUGUACUGACGCUGAUGGACGAAAGCGUGGGGAGCGAACAGGAUUAGAUACCCUGGUAGCGACUGAU
rnacentral:rRNA from 1 species